rnacentral:rRNA from 1 species
AACUUUCAACAACGGAUCUCUUGGCUCUCGCAUCGAUGAAGAACGCAGCGAAAUGCGAUAAGUAAUGUGAAUUGCAGAAUUCAGUGAAUCAUCGAAUCUUUGAACGCACCUUGCGCUCCUUGGUAUUCCGAGGAGCAUGCCUGUUU